GACGAACGCUGGCGGCGUGCUUAACACAUGCAAGUCGAACGAUGAAGCUGGAGCUUGCUCCGGUGGAUUAGUGGCGAACGGGUGAGUAACACGUGAGCAAUCUGCCCUUGACUCUGGGAUAACUGCGGGAAACUGUAGCUAAUACCGGAUACUUUCCUUGGUGGGCAUCCACUGGGGAAGAAAGAAUUUCGGUCAAGGAUGAGCUCGCGGCCUAUCAGCUAGUUGGUGAGGUAAUGGCUCACCAAGGCGACGACGGGUAGCCGGCCUGGGAGGGUGACCGGCCACACUGGAACUGAGACACGGUCCAGACUCCUACGGGAGGCAGCAGUGGGGAAUAUUGCACAAUGGGCGAAAGCCUGAUGCAGCAACGCCGCGUGAGGGACGAAGGCCUUCGGGUUGUAAACCUCUUUUAGCAGGGAAGAAGCGAAAGUGACGGUACCUGCAGAAAAAGCACCGGCUAACUACGUGCCAGCAGCCGCGGUAA
rnacentral:rRNA from 1 species